AAGUGAUUAUCAACUGAUUGGGAUCAAUGACAAAUACCUCUCCCUUCUGACUGACAGUGGUGAUGUUAAGGAUGAUCUUGGAAAAGAAAAAGAAACUAGAUUUGAAGGAAGAGAAGAGAUUAAGAUCCACGUCUUGUGUGCAAUGAAUGAGGAGUAAGCCAUUGCCAUCAGUUCCAUGACCAAAUAAAAAGAUAAUCCCAG